AAAAAGAUAAACCCUGGUUUCCAUACCCAACGUUUGAUCGUCCGUCUUAUUUGAAAAAAUUAUAAAAAAAAUUAAAAAGACAAGUCACGCAUAAAAUAUUAAUCAUGUUUUAUCAUCUAACAACAAUAAAAAUACGAAUUAUAAAAAAAUUUCAUAUAAGACGGACAGUUAAAAUUGGACAUGAAAAUUUAGGGUUUGUCUUUUU
rnacentral:pre_miRNA from 1 species